rnacentral:rRNA from 1 species
ACAGCAGUAGCCGCGGUAAUACGAAGGGGGCUAGCGUUGCUCGGAAUUACUGGGCGUAAAGGGAGCGUAGGCGGACAUUUAAGUCAGGGGUGAAAUCCCAGAGCUCAACUCUGGAACUGCCUUUGAUACUGGGUGUCUUGAGUGUGAUAGAGGUAUGUGGAACUCCGAGUGUAGAGGUGAAAUUCGUAGAUAUUCGGAAGAACACCAGUGGCGAAGGCGACAUACUGGAUCAUUACUGACGCUGAGGCUCGAAAGCGUGGGGAGCAAACAGGAUUAGAUACCCGCGUAGUCCCUGUCUCUUAUAC